rnacentral:rRNA from 1 species
UACGUAGGGUGCAGGCGUUAAUCGGAAUUACUGGGCGUAAAGCGCGCGCAGGCGGUCUCUUAAGUCUGAUGUGAAAGCCCACGGCUCAACCGUGGAGGGUCAUUGGAAACUGGGGGACUUGAGUACAGAAGAGGAAAGCGGAAUUCCACGUGUAGCGGUGAAAUGCGUAGAGAUGUGGAGGAACACCAGUGGCGAAGGCGGCUUUCUGGUCUGUAACUGACGCUGAGGCGCGAAAGCGUGGGGAGCAAACAGG